AUUACACUUCACACUGAGGAAGCUUCAUGUGGGGCUGCGUCCAUAUUUGUCCAUAUUCAACGCGUGUGCGACUUAAGUGGAAACAUGGCAGCGGCACGCACUGAAACAGAUUAGAGGUCUGGAAAAUGUGGCUUCAGAGUAGAGCUUUAACAAAUGGCAGCUAAUUAGCCCGAAGAAGAAAGAACUAAAGAAUCAGUAUUAUAACAGUCAUCAAGAAUGUAAGAUGGUGUCAUGAAGAAGAAAGGCAUGAUUUGCUCCUCUGUGCCCAUGGUGAACAGUCUACACAGUCAGAUGUACAACUGCUGCUAAGUCAUCACAGAGCACUGACACCUCUCACCCAGGCUCCUGCCUUCACCAGUGGCUGGUCACAGAGAUUUCAGAGGGUGUGCAAAGAUCUUGUACAAAUGCAUGACCAAAUCACAUUAGUAUUUGGAUCCCCCUUGGAAGAACAUAGCUGUAUGAUCUGAUAUGUUUUUAAGAUGAUCCAUGUUAUCAAUAGAUAUAUCUGCUAUUCUGGUAUUUCAAUAGAUACCAAUUGCUAUGUAUGUAUGUUGAUGUGUAUAUAUUUCUAAACUCUUAAUUCUGUUUUUUUCACUAGACUCUUAGCAUCAGUAAUAGCUAGUGACAAUGAAUUUCAUAUUUAACUGUGCUCUUGGGUAAAAAAAGAUAACCCCUCUAAGCAGUUUGUUGUAUGUUAUAAAGAAAAGGUAAUUGUGAGUUCCUAAGUUGCCUCCUCUAUAAUAUUCAUUACUUAGAAUACAUCUAUCAUGCUCCAUAUUAUUUGUUUAGUCUCCAGACUAAACAGCUUCAGGAUUUUCACUGUCUCUUCAUAUGGAAGUCUUUUUGUGUCUCUAGCAAUUUUCAUCAUCAGUCCCUGAAUCAUCUCUGCUGAACUAAACAGCAUGUACAAACCACUUUCUUCUGAUUGAGGCAAUGGAAAUAAAUGCACAUUUGGGGGAUGGGAGGUAAGGGAGAGAGGAGAAUUUAUGAUUACAUUUGUUUUUAGAACAUUUUUUGUACAUCUGAUUUCCCACAGCUUUUAAAAUACAUGGCAAUAAUGGAGGAAUUGCAGACAUUUCUGAGGGUUUGUUCUGAACUUAAGAAACAGUGCAUGCAAGGCAUAUUGAUUUCUUUCUCUGUAUUGAUCCUUCUUCAUUACUUAACUUUCAAGCCCAUAAAAUCUGAUUGUUAGAAAAAAUACUGAUAGCUUAUUAUUGGUUAAUUAGAAUUUCUAUUACAGCUGGUGUGUGAUUUUCCCUUUCAAAAGAAAAACAUGAAAUUGAAUUCAAGACUAUUUUUCUUCUUCAUAGAAUUAAAAGAUUCUCCUCUCACCUGUGAGGAUGGCAGACUACUUUAUUCUGUGGCAUACUAUAAAUCCUUUGGACUCACUGAUUGGAGCUUAUCAGCAAGAUGCCUCUCUCUCCAUAUGCUUCUGUGAGAGAAGUCCCUCAUCUGCUCAUCUUGGCGAUGUAAGCUGUGUAAGCUGAAAUCCUUAAUUCACACAGAAUCACAGAAUGGCCCGGGUUUGGAAGGACCCCAAGGAUCAUGAAGCUUCAACUCCCCCCACCGCAUACAGGGCCACCAACCUCCACAUUUAAUACUAGAGCAGACUGCCCAGGGCCCCAUCCAACCUGGCCUUGAACACCUCCAGGGACGGGGCAUCCACAGCCUCUCUGUGCAGAGAGGUUCUUCAUGCAGGAGGGAUUGCUAUCCUUAACUUUAUCGGGUGAGAUCUAACAGAGCAUUUUUACCAGCCCUGGCUGUAGAGACUGUGUGGGACACCUCCCCAGCUGUGCUGGAGCACAGGACAAACCCCCGCCUCAUGCACUUUAUUAAUUUCCUUUAUUCAUUUGCUGACGACCUUUCCUUUAUCACACAUGAAACGUUUUCGGCAUAAAAAGACCAAAGGAACUCUAUCCUGCUUCUUCCUAUCUCGGCCUGAAUAGGUUAAAUUGCCAUGGUUACCUCUCCUGCGCUGCUAGACCUUGAAAUACAUCUCUAUUUCACUUCAGCUUUCCAAGCUCAAAGCUGAGCUCUAGACAAAUUUAGGAAGACUUUCCAUCAGGAUAUUAGCUCCCCUCCCAGAAGUCCCCUUUUGGGUUUCGCUCAUGCCUCCAGCUUUCUUCUGUGCCUGUUUAAACCAACAGUUGCAGCAAACCUCCAAAUCAACAGCCUUGUCAGGAUGAAUAAUCUAAAAUUAAUGUGCACUUGUCGACACGCAUUACUGUUCCUGACAGAGACGCGUUGCCGGCGCUGGCUACAAACCGACAGUCCUUCAGAAGAAGUUUGCUCAGCGCAGUCUCAGGGCUGAUGGAGAGCAGGGAUAAGGCUGGCAGCCGGGUUUCAGCCGAUAAGUACGAUGGCUCCUGACACGGCAGGCUCGCAGUGAAUCCACCAAAGACCAGGCUGCCUGCUUUUCUUUCUUUCUUUUUUUUUUUUUUUCUUUUCAUUUUCCUGCCGUUUGCUUUACUCUCACUGGUGGUGGUUAUCACAUUUACACAGCACCCCCUGAGAAAUCAUCCAGAUCGGUUCUGAACAUCUUGUUUUUACCACCCUCGACUUCAAGUGGCAGAGCGGGCGCGUGAAUAACCCAGCGCACCUCAGGAGCAUCGCAGCCACGCGCUUUAACCCAUACCUUUGUGCCUGGCUCUCCCACUCCCACCUUGCUUUUUUUCACAGCUUAGCUCUUAAAAUCCUGCAUUCUCUGCUGCAGUGGUAAGGGAAAACUGCAGUGAGUGAAGACAGAGCGGGACAUGGGACGGAAUCCGUAAAAGCAGGUGUAGGGCUGAGGCUGUUAGCUCUGUGCCUGCUGGAGUAAUGAAACUCGCUUGGAAUGAAAAUAAAAGAAUGAAGUAUUGCUCUGGUUUUGCCCCCUUUUUUUUACACAGCUCAGUAAUCAGCAUUCAGCAUAUUGCUGCAUUUUUAAAGUUAACUGCUACGGAAUUCAUGAAUUCUUCUUCAUGAAUACCAAAGUAUUCAGUCUUCUGCAGUUUAAUAGGUAACAGAGUCCCUUUAAAAAAAAAUUGUUGCCAAGCUUUUGUGUAUCAACACAGCUAUAUGGAAACAGAGAGAGGCCUUUAUUUCUGGUUCCGCUCAGCCCUCGUCACUCCCUUACCCUCUUCACCCAGUGACAACUUGGGGCUGCAUGCUGCACAGGGUGUCCCCAAGACCCUCGGGAAACAUAGAGACAAGCACUGUCCCCCAGGUUGGAGAGGAUGCCCAUGCUUCCCGUGCUGUCCAUUUUCAGGAGCAGCAGGGGCUCGUGGGGAGCAGCGUGUCUGUCGCAGCCCUCUCCCACCCACUCACACUGGCUCCCACCCAGCUCUCAUCUGGCAGUUUUCACUACCAAAGAGCUCAAGGCAACUAUGCCUUCACCCUGGGGCAUGCUGGCCAAGCGCCCUGAUCCUGAAUCCUCAGCUGAGAGAAGCUGUCCCCUGGGAAAGCUGCUUUCCCUCACCAGUGCCACCAAUGCAUGC